GACGAACGCUGGCGGCGUGCUUAACACAUGCAAGUCGAACGGAAAGGCACUGCUUUUGUGGGGUGCCCGAGUGGCGAACGGGUGCGUAAGACGUGUGUAACCUGCUCUUGAUUUUGGGAUAACUUCAGGAAACUGGGGCUACUACCGGAUAGCAGCCCCUGCUGCAGGGUGGGGGUUGGAAAGUUUCGGCGGUUGGGGAUGGACUCGCGGCUUAUGAGCUUGUUGGUGGGGUAGUGGCUUACCAAGGCAUUGACGGAUAGGCGGCAUGGGAGGGUGACCGGGCACCAGGGGACUGAGGGAGGGCCCAGUGGGCAACGUGGGGCAGCAGGGGGAAAUAUGACACAGCGAGCGGGAGUGUGUGACGGAGGCGUUGGGGUCGGAAUGACGUCUUUUGGGGUGAGAAACGCUUCAGCUUAAGACGAAGCGGUAGUGACGGUACUUGGUGAAGAAGCACCGGCUAACUACGU
rnacentral:rRNA from 1 species